AUCUGAUUGUGAACUAGGAACAGUAGGAGGCAUCAUGGGUAGGGAUGAUGGUAUUCAUGGUGCUAUAGGGGGACCAUUACCAAAUGUGCACAUAUUUGCCUGUGGAGGAUGUUUGUAGCCUGCACUCUUGUAGGAGGAAUCAAAAUGAUAGUAACAUCAAUCGCCAAGGUGACUUGUUUUCCCACAUAAUUUGUAACACCUCCUACCCAUAUCCGUCGUCGGAAUAGAGUACGAGGCAUUACCAAGAAGCACGAAACACUUACAGAUAAUUUAAAUACAUUUUCAUAACAACUUAUCUCGAUUUCAUACUAUUUCAUAUUUAAGCUUUAUUCACCAAAGUAUUUGAAAUAUCAUCUUUAUGCAAA
rnacentral:lncRNA from 1 species